AAGAAAGUGGCAGAAUGGUUAUGCGGUUGACUUGAAAUCAGCUUAUGGGGGUUCAAUUCCUCCUUUUCUCG
rnacentral:tRNA from 1 species